CCUACGGGGGGCAGCAGUAGGGAAUAUUGCUCAAUGGAGGAAACCCUGAAGCAGCAACGCCGCGUGGAGGAUGAAGGUUUUCGGAUUGUAAACUCCUUUUGUUAGAGAAGAUAAUGACGGUAUCUAACGAAUAAGCACCGGCUAACUCCGUGCCAGCAGCCACGGUAAUACGGAGGGUGCAAGCGUUACUCGGAAUCACUGGGCGUAAAGAGCGCGUAGGCGGGAUAGCAAGUCAGAUGUGAAAUCCUAUGGCUUAACCAUAGAACUGCAUUUGAAACUGUUAUUCUAGAGUAUGGGAGAGGUAGGUGGAAUUCGUGGUGGAGGGGUAAAAUGCGUAGAGAUCAAGAGGAAUACUCAUUGCGAAGGCGACCUGCUAGAACAUAACUGACGCUGAUGCGCGAAAGCGUGGGGAGCAAACAGGAUUAGAUACCCCAGUAGUC
rnacentral:rRNA from 1 species